rnacentral:rRNA from 1 species
UACGAAGGGGGCUAGCGUUGCUCGGAAUUACUGGGCGUAAAGGGCGCGUAGGCGGCACUGUUAGUCAGGCGUGAAAGUCCUGGGCUCAACCUGGGAACUGCGCUUGAUACGGCAGAGCUAGAGGAUGGAAGAGGGUCGCGGAAUUCCCAGUGUAGAGGUGAAAUUCGUAGAUAUUGGGAAGAACACCGGUGGCGAAGGCGGCGACCUGGUCCAUUACUGACGCUGAGGUGCGAAAGCGUGGGGAGCAAACAGG